GACGAAGGAUGCAAGCGUUAUCCGGAUUCAUUGGGCUUAAAGCGUGCGUAGGCGGUCCUGUAAGUCAGUGGUGAAAGCUCUCAGCUUAACUGAGAAACUGCCAUUGAUACUGCAAGACUUGAGUACAGAUGAUGUUGGCGGAAUAUGACAUGUAGCGGUGAAAUGCAUAGAUAUGUCAUAGAACACCGAUUGCGAAGGCAGCUGACAAAACUGUAACUGACGCUGAGGCACGAAAGUGUGGGGAUCAAACAGG
rnacentral:rRNA from 1 species